ACACAUGCAGUCGAGCGGUAACAGGUCCAGCUUGCUGGAUGCUGACGAGCGGCGGACGGGUGAGUAACGCAUAGGAAUCUACCCGGUAGUGGGGGAUAACCUGGGGAAACCCAGGCUAAUACCGCAUACGUCCUACGGGAGAAAGGGGGCUUCGGCUCCCGCUAUUGGAUGAGCCUAUGCCGGAUUAGCUGGUUGGUGAGGUAAUGGCUCACCAAGGCGACGAUCCGUAGCUGGUCUGAGAGGAUGAUCAGCCACAUCGGGACUGAGACACGGCCCGAACUCCUACGGGAGGCAGCAGUGGGGAAUAUUGGACAAUGGGGGCAACCCUGAUCCAGCCAUGCCGCGUGUGUGAAGAAGGCCCUCGGGUUGUAAAGCACUUUCAGCGAGGAAGAACGCCUGUCGGUUAAUACCCGGCAGGAAAGACAUCACUCGCAGAAGAAGCACCGGCUAACUCCGUGCCAGCAGCCGCGGUAAUACGGAGGGUGCAAGCGUUAAUCGGAAUUACUGGGCGUAAAGCGCGCGUAGGUGGCUUGAUAAGCCGGUUGUGAAAGCCCCGGGCUCAACCUGGGAACGGCAUCCGGAACUAUGAGGCUAGAGUGCAGGAGAGGAAGGUAGAAUUCCCGGUGUAGCGGUGAAAUGCGUAGAGAUCGGGAGGAAUACCAGUGGCGAAGGCGGCCUUCUGGACUGACACUGACACUGAGGUGCGAAAGCGUGGGUAGCAAACAGGAUUAGAUACCCUGGUAGUCCACGCCGUAAACGAUGUCGACCAGCCGUUGGGUGCCUAGCGCACUUUGUGGCGA
rnacentral:rRNA from 1 species